rnacentral:rRNA from 1 species
AGAGUUUGAUCCUGGCUCAGGAUGAACGCUGGCGGCGUGCUUAACACAUGCAAGUCGAACGAUGAAGGGAGCUUGCUCCUGGAUUAGUGGCGAACGGGUGAGUAACACGUGAGUAACCUGCCCUUAACUCUGGGAUAAGCCUGGGAAACUGGGUCUAAUACCGGAUAUGACUCCUCAUCGCAUGGUGGGGGGUGGAAAGCUUUUUGUGGUUUUGGAUGGACUCGCGGCCUAUCAGCUUGUUGGUGAGGUAAUGGCUCACCAAGGCGACGACGGGUAGCCGGCCUGAGAGGGUGACCGGCCACACUGGGACUGAGACACGGCCCAGACUCCUACGGGAGGCAGCAGUGGGGAAUAUUGCACAAUGGGCGAAAGCCUGAUGCAGCGACGCCGCGUGAGGGAUGACGGCCUUCGGGUUGUAAACCUCUUUCAGUAGGGAAGAAGCGAAAGUGACGGUACCUGCAGAAGAAGCGCCGGCUAACUACGUGCCAGCAGCCGCGGUAAUACGUAGGGCGCAAGCGUUAUCCGGAAUUAUUGGGCGUAAAGAGCUCGUAGGCGGUUUGUCGCGUCUGCUGUGAAAGACCGGGGCUCAACUCCGGUUCUGCAGUGGGUACGGGCAGACUAGAGUGAUGUAGGGGAGACUGGAAUUCCUGGUGUAGCGGUGAAAUGCGCAGAUAUCAGGAGGAACACCGAUGGCGAAGGCAGGUCUCUGGGCAUUAACUGACGCUGAGGAGCGAAAGCAUGGGGAGCGAACAGGAUUAGAUACCCCUGUAGUCC